GAGUUUAUAGCUCAGUGGUAGAGCAGCGGACUUUUAAUCCGUUGGUCGCAGGUUCGAGUCCUGUUAAACUCA
rfam:Fonticula alba strain ATCC 38817 mitochondrial scaffold supercont2.211, whole genome shotgun sequence.